rnacentral:rRNA from 1 species
GUGUCAGCCGCCGCGGUAAUACGGAGGGUGCGAGCGUUAAUCGGAAUUACUGGGCGUAAAGCGUGCGUAGGUGGCUGUUUAAGUCAGAUGUGAAAUCCCCGGGCUCAACCUGGGAAUUGCGAUUGUGACUGCAUCGCUGGAGUGCGGCAGAGGGGGAUGGAAUUCCGCGUGUAGCAGUGAAAUGCGUAGAUAUGCGGAGGAACACCGAUGGCGAAGGCAAUCCCCUGGGCCUGCACUGACGCUCAUGCACGAAAGCGUGGGGAGCAAACAGGAUUAGAUACCCUGGUAGUCCACGCCCUAA